UACGGAGGGUGCAAGCGUUAUCCGGAUUCACUGGGCUUAAGGGGUGUGUAGGCGGCUAUUUAAGUCAGUGGUGAAAUCUCCAGGCUCAACCUGGAAACUGCCAUUGAUACUAUUUAUCUUGAAUUCUGUUGAGGUGGGCGGAAUACAUCAUGUAGCGGUGAAAUGCUUAGAUAUGAUGUAGAACACCGAUUGCGAAGGCAGCUCACUAAACAGCGAUUGACGCUGAGGCACGAAAGCGUGGGGAUCAAACAGG
rnacentral:rRNA from 1 species